UACGGAGGGUCCGAGCGUUAUCCGGAAUCAUUGGGUUUAAAGGGUCCGCAGGCGGCCAGAUAAGUCAGUGGUGAAAUUCCGUGGCUCAACCACGGAACUGCCAUUGAUACUGUUUGGCUUGAAUCAGUUCGAGGAUGCCGGAAUGUGUGGUGUAGCGGUGAAAUGCAUAGAUAUCACACAGAACACCAAUUGCGAAGGCAGGUGUCCAGAACUGUAUUGACGCUGAUGGACGAAAGCGUGGGUAGCGAAC
rnacentral:rRNA from 1 species